GUGUGCGUAAUUUAAAAAAAAUAUCAAGCUGUGACCGUGAUUAUAGGAGAUACUCCUCACACACC
rnacentral:tRNA from 1 species